UACGAAGGGGGCUAGCGUUGCCCGGAAUUACUGGGCGUAAAGGGCUCGUAGGCGGCCAACUAAGUCAGACGUGAAAUCCCCAGGCUCAACCUGGGAACUGCGUCUGAUACUGGAUGGCUUGAAUCCGGGAGAGGGAUGCAGAAUUCCAGGUGUAGCGGUGAAAUGCGUAGAUAUCUGGAGGAAUACCGGUGGCGAAGGCGGCAUCCUGGACCGGCAUUGACGCUGAGGAGCGAAAGCCAGGGGAGCAAACGGG
rnacentral:rRNA from 1 species